rnacentral:rRNA from 1 species
CCUACGGGAGGCAGCAGUGAGGAAUAUUGGUCAAUGGGCGUAAGCCUGAACCAGCCAAGUCGCGUGAGGGAUGAAGGUUCUAUGGAUCGUAAACCUCUUUUAUAAGGGAAUAAAGUGUGGGACGUGUCCUGUUUUGUAUGUACCUUAUGAAUAAGGAUCGGCUAACUCCGUGCCAGCAGCCGCGGUAAUACGGAGGAUCCGGGCGUUAUCCGGAUGUAGUGGGUUUAAAGGGUGCGUAGGCGGCCUUUCAAGUAAGCGGUGAAAGUCAGUGGCUCAACCAUAGACUUGCCGUUGACACUGGGAGGCUUGAGUAUGUUUGAGGCAGGCGGAAGGCGUGGUGUAGCGGUGAAAUGCUGAGAUAUCACGCAGAACCCCGAUUGCGAAGGCAGCCUGCCAAGCCAUGACUGACGCUGAUGCACGAAAGCGUGGGGAUCAAACAGGAUUAGAUACCCCAGUAGUC